rnacentral:rRNA from 1 species
GACAGAGGAGCCAAGCGUUGUCCGGAUUGACUGGGCGUAAAGCGCACGCAGGCGGCACGGCACGUGGGGUGUGAAAGCCCACCGCUUAACGGUGGGUCGCCACCGCAUACGGCCGCGCUUGAGGACGGCAGAGGUUCGUGGAAUUGCCGGUGUAGUGGUGAAAUGCGUAGAGAUCGGCAGGAACACCAAGGGCGAAAGCAGCGAACUGGGCCGACCCUGACGCUCAGGUGCGAAAGCGUGGGGAGCGAACCGG